rnacentral:rRNA from 1 species
AUUUACUGGGCGUAAAGCGUGCGUAGGCGGCUAUUUAAGUCGGAUGUGAAAGCCCUGGGCUCAACCUGGGAACUGCAUUCGAUACUGGGUAGCUAGAGAUCGGUAGAGGGCGGCGGAAUUCCGGGUGUAGCGGUGAAAUGCGUAGAUAUCCGGAGGAACACCGAUGGCGAAGGCAACCGCCUGGGCCUGAUCUGACGCUGAGGCACGAAAGCGUGGGGAGCAAACAGGAUUAGAUACCCUGGUAGU